UACGUAGGGUGCGAGCGUUGUCCGGAAUUAUUGGGCGUAAAGAGCUCGUAGGCGGCCUGUUGCGUCCGCUGUGAAAGCCCGGGGCUUAACCCCGGGUCGCAGUGGAUACGGGCAGGCUAGAGGUAGGUAGGGGAGAAUGGAAUUCCCGGUGUAGCGGUGAAAUGCGCAGAUAUCAGGAGGAACACCGGUGGCGAAGGCGGGACUCUGGGCCGAUACUGACGCUGAGGAGCGAAAGCGUGGGGAGCAAACAGG
rnacentral:rRNA from 1 species